AUUGAACGCUGGCGGCAGGCUUAACACAUGCAAGUCGAGCGAGCGGCGGACGGGUGAGUAAUGUAUGGGGAUCUGCCUGGUGGAGGGGGAUAACUACUGGAAACGGUAGCUAAUACCGCAUACCAUCAGAUGAACCCAUAUGGGAUUAGCUUGUUGGUGGGGUAAAGGCUCACCUAGGCGACGAUCCCUAGCUGGUUUGAGAGGAUGACCAGCCACACUGGGACUGAGACACGGCCCAGACGCCUACGGGAGGCAGAAGGGGGGAAUUUUGCACAAUGGGGGAAAGCCUGAUGCAGCCAUCCCGCGUGUAUGAAGAAGGCCUUCGGGUUGUAAAGUACUUUUAGUCGGGAAGCGUUACCGGCAGAAGAAGCACCGGCUAACUCCGUGCCAGCAGCCGCGGUAAUAC
rnacentral:rRNA from 1 species